CCCGCCCUCAGCGAGUGCCGCCGCCGCGGAGGCUUCGCCCCCUGCCCGCCAAGGGGCGGCUGUGGCGGCAGCCGCACGGACCCGGAACGGGAAGCGCUGCGGGGGCCGAGAGGAGGCAGCAAGCAAGAGCCGUCCCCCCCCACCUUACCCGGGGCCGGCCUCGCGCGCGCCGCCGCUACAGCCUCGCGCCCCCCCUCCCUUUAUGGCCGCCCCUCACCCGCCCCUCUCACGCCCUUUCCCCUCACGGCCUCGGCCAUGGCUGGGCCUUCCCGGAGAACGGCAGCGGCGGCGGGAAGAGGAGGAGGAGGAGGAAGAGGAGGAGGAGGAGGAGGAGGAGGAGUCGCACAGAUUCAAGAGCUGGAGCUCCAAGAGACACAAUAAGCGAUUGUGUUAUGAAUCUUGGCAGCGCCAAAUCCGUGAGCAGAGGCUGGUGCAAAUAGGAGAGUACAGGGCUAUACCUCUUUAACUCAAUUCAGGUAUAUUUUUACAUGAAAGUUGGUUUGUAUCAUUAUUCCUGUACAGAUAUUUUACAUCGUUGCACUGAUUUAGCUGUAAAGACAUUUGGGGGCUACUGUAAUGCACUAGGAAAUACAUUAUUAACACAGACCACUCCUCACUUGCACUGUUACUUUAGGAGGGUGGCUGGGAACAACAGAGAGAAAGAACCAUUCAUGCUUUCAGCAUUCUCUUUGCCACUGUAAAAAAUGAUAAAAGAUUCACUGGAGUUUGGGUUUUGGUUCUGCCAAAGUAUGCAAUUUUGUGUCUACAUAGGACUGGAUUUGGUGGGGAAAAAAGCAAUAGAAUAUUUCCCCAGGUUAUGUUAAUUGUGGAUCGCACCAUCUCAUGAAGAAAGAGGGCAUGAGUUCAGGACCUGUGUUUUCCUGGACUGCAGUGUGACCUUGGGUAAAGCAGUUCACUUUACACAGCUGUAUUUUGGCUGUCGUUAAAAUGGAAAUAAAGAUAUCGUUUUUUUUUUCAAACACUCA